ACCAAGCGUUCGAUUGCUUGACGUCACUUCGUGAUCGACAUCGAUGAAACGCUUGCUUACGCUGUAGAUGUUAUUUUCUGUGCAAAUGCAAGCGUCUAUUGAUAACGAAACGAUAAUUUGUCAACAAUGAGAAUCAGAUACUUGGCUUAAUAAUUUUCAUUUAAAAUGUCUAAUUUGGAUAUAAUUCGGAAUACAAAACGAAACUUAAAAGGUAUUGAAAACAACAACGUUCAAAAGAACAAUGUGGAUUUCAAUAGAAAGACUAUUUCCACCGACAAUCAGGAUUUCCGGUAUGACCACUGUUAUUUUGACGAUUUUUCUAUCGGUUCGUCGGUAAGCGUGACCACAUGUGGCAACAGCGAUGCUAGUUGGAUAUAAAAUUGGUAGACGUGUCGUUGAACUCGACACAUUGACCGAAUCGCUUUUAGCAUGCAGUGCUUGUCAAGUGCCCAUGAAUUUACUUAACACUGUAGAAAGCAUGGAUUUCGGACAGGCAUGUGUUUUGGACAUACAGUUUAGCAAUUGUGGUGCAGUAAAUAAUGCAGCUACUGGACGGAAACAUGGCAGAGUUUAUGACAUGAUCACAAAGCUUGCAUUUGGGUAAAUCAAAAACUGGGUGUUUCACCUGGGACUUUCACAUCGAAACUGGCCCUUCUCCAUGACCUUCAGCACAAAAAAAGAAAGGCUAUAGCUGUUACUCAUGCAGCAAAACAGUGACGCAUAAGACUUAAAACUCGAACGGCAUUCAAAGGACAGUGCAAGAAGUACGAGCGGGACCAACAUACAGUUCAAACAUAGAGGACCAAGACGUUGAAGUUACAACUAUACCCCACCUAUACCCAAGCCUGGUCCAGCAGGGCUAGACACUACUGGGAAGGAAUUUGUUUUCUUUGAUUUGGAAACAAGAGGGUUAGAGCACACUUCUCACAUAAUUCAGAUAGCUGCAGUGCAUUCAACUGGUCAAUUUUCAACAUAUGUGAUGCAUGCGAAGAAGAUUUCCUUGCAAGCGUCAGAAAUAACUGGAGUGACAAUUGUUAGCGACUCUAUGCUUGUCAAGAGACAAACAGUAACAGCUGUCCCCAUCAAAUCUGCAUUGACAAGUUUUAUAACAUUCUUACAGAAAUGUUCACCAAUUAUUUCAGUUGGGCAUAAUAUAGAGUCUUUUGAUUGUAAAGUGUUGCUCCGUGCUAUCCAUACUUGUUGAAAAAUGUUUGAGUUUCAGCAAAAUAUUUGUGGCUUUUUAGAUACUUAAAAAUGUUAAAGGAAAUAUUACCAAAUAUGAAAUCAUAUAAGCGGGAAAAUUAAGUUAAAGACGUCAUUGGUGAAUUAUACAUGGCACAUGGCGCUAUACAGGAUAUUUUAGCUUUACAAAAGUUAGUGAACUCUGUUCCUCUUGACCAAAAAUUGUUAACAAAUAUUCAUUCAGCUUUUACCGAGCAGUGUUAACAUACAAUGUGUAACUAAAUGUUGCUUCCAACAUCAAAUCUUUACAAACCAUAAUUGAUACAAAAGUUAUAAGUCAAGGUGUUGCAAGGAAAGUUGCAGGAAGUGGAUUUCAACUUAAACAUUUGAGUCCUGUAUCAAAAAGAAACGGACUGAGUGGUUUGAGGAGCCCCCUGUCAGAGGUUACAAACGGACAAAUCAGAGUAACAAAAUCAGAGAAAAUAAUAUGUACAAUAGCGAGUUAUUUGUUGCCUGACAUCUAACCAAUUGUAAUUUGCAUCUUGUAUAUAGAUAAGCUAUGAAAUCUAAUAGCUGUUACAUAAUUGUUUUUCCUUCUCGAUGACGAACAUAGUUGUGAUUCUUAUGUCAGUUGUAUUUCUCAUAUUUCACCUAAGUUGUAAGAUAUUUUUGGCAGUGCAUUAAACCACAGAUGGUGUGUGAAACAUAAUUGCCCAGCUUAUUGUAUUCUUUGUUGUUUUAAGCUUCACUGGCCAAAGGCCAGCGGGGCUUAUGUUAUGAUUCUGUGUCCGUCGUGCGUGCGUGCCUGAACGUUUCCUUUAAACAUCUUCUUCUCCUAAACUACUGGUCCAAUUGUGAUGAAAUUUUUUAGGAAUGUUCCUCUUUCAACGUUGUUCAAAUUAUGCCCCUGGGGUCAAAUUUGACCCUGCCCCGGGGUCACAAAA